AUUUAAACUUAUAAAAAGUUUAAUAUGUCACAAUUUUUUAACAUCAUUAUAUAAUAUAUAGAGUUUAAAAAAAAUUCAAAUUUUUUCCCUUAUAUUUUGUGAUUCGAAAUUUUAAAAAUAAACAUAUAUUAACCAAUUGGCAAAAAAUGUGUGGGUUCAACGUCCCGCAUCGACUAAAAUAUUUAGACAAUGAUUCGUAAACAUAUCAUAAAUAAGAUCAACAUUAAUAAAAUCAAUGGGUUUUUUUACGAGACGGGUUUGGCAUGAAGAGUUUGGCAUAACGUUAUUUAAUAACAACUGUAAAUUAUAAAAUAAAAA
rnacentral:sRNA from 1 species